UCCUGAUAUCUACACAGAGAUGUUUAAUUGGAGUACCGAGAUCACCAGUGUGCUAGCACCUUACAGAUCUCGCUUCUCAUCCUUGGAUCUUGAUCUCUUCUUCCAGAUCUUGAAGAAGGAGAUCGCUGUAGGAACUCUUUCACGCAUAUCUGACGGGAUCUGAACUAGAUCACCAUGAAAAGAAGAAAAUCCCUUCUUUUGCUCUUCUUCUCUCUAUUUUCUCUUCUUAGAUUUGAUCUCCUAUUAGAUCUGGGCAUUGGAUGAAGGGGAGAAGGGAGGAGGAGUUGGGAGAGGAAGUUAUGAUGUAAGAAGGAAGACUCUCUUCUUAUCUCAUGCAUGCCC
rnacentral:lncRNA from 1 species